rnacentral:rRNA from 1 species
UUUUUGGUUAAGUUACAAAGGGCAUAUCGAGGAUGCCUUGGCACUAAUAGGCGAUGAAGGACGUGGCUACCUGCGAUAAGCCCCGGCAAGACGGUAACAGUCUUAGACCCGGGGAUUUCCGAAUCGGGCAACCGAUCCAGAGUAAUGUCUGGAUAUGUUCUGCUGAAUCCAUAGGCAGAAACAAGCCAACGAAGGGAACUGAAACAUCUAAGUACCUUCAGGAAGAGAAAACAACCGUGAUUUCCUUAGUAGCGGCGAGCGAAACGGAAAGAGCCUAAACCGUUCAGCGUGUCAAGCGUGAUUGCGUUGCGCUGACGGAGUUGUGGGACUUUUGGGUGGAAAAUCACUACACCAAAGAGUUACAAAUCUUAAUGUUAACUGAAUGUUCUGGAAAGUUCAACCAUAGAGGGUGAAAGUCCUGUAAGUGAAAACAUUAAGACUCUUAAAAGUAUCCCGAGUACCACGGAGCACGUGAAAUUCUGUGGGAAUCCGCCAGAACCAUCUGGUAAGGCUAAAUACUCAUUAGUGACCGAUAGUGAACAAGUACCGUGAGGGAAAGGUGAAAAGUACUCCUAACAGGAGGGUGAAAUAGUACCUGAAACGAUAUGCCUACAAACGGUAGUAGUCUGGUAAGUCAGCUUGCUGAUUUAUCGGAUGACUGCGUGCCUUUUGUUUAAUGAGCCAACGAGUUACUCGUAUGUUGCUGGCUAAAUCUCUAAGAGAUGUAACCAAAGCGAAAGCAAGUCCGAAACGGGCGAUUUAUAGUAACAUGCGGUAGACGCGAAACUGUGUGAUCUAUCCUUGACCAGGAUGAAGUAUCGGUAAAACGGUAUGGAGGUCCGAACCAGUGUGGGUUGAAAACCGCUUGGAUGAGUUGAGGAUAGGAGCGAAAGACCAAUCAAACUCAGAGAUAGCUCGUACUCCUCGAAAUAGCUUUAGGGCUAGCCUCGAGUAAAAGUAUGUUGGAGGUAGAGCACUAACUGGGCUAGGGCUGUCACAACGGUACCAAACCCAAAUAAACUCCGAAUUCCAAUCAUAUGUUUCUCGGGAGUCAGGCAGUGGGGGAUAAGCUUCAUUGCCGAGAGGGGAAUAACCCAGACCACCAAUUAAGGUCCCCAAGUUUAUGUUAACAGACUAAGGAUGUUAGGUUGCUAUGACAACUAGGAUGUUGGCUUAGAAGCAGCCACUCAUUUAAAGAGUGCGUAAUAGCUCACUAGUCAAGCGACUUAGCGCCGAUAAUACACGGGACUUAAACAUAACACCGAAAUUGUGGUUCUUUUUUAAGAAGGUAGAGGAGCAUUCUAUUUGCGACUGAAGGUGUCCGGCGACGGGUGCUGGAGCGGAUAGAAAAGAAAAUGUUGGCAUAAGUAACGAUAAAUACGAUGAAAAAUCGUAUCACCGAAAAUCUAAGGUUUCCUGAGCAAUGUUAAUCAUCUCAGGGUUAGUCGGACCCUAAGCCGAGGCCGAAAGGCGUAGGUAAUGGGAAACAGGUUAAAUAUUCCUGUACCAUCGACAUUUAACUUUAAGGGACACAGGAGUGAAAGGGAAGCCGCCUGCUGGAAUAGGCGGUCUAAGGUCGUAGUUUGGGGCAACCCUUAUGAAAGCCGAACGGGAUGGCGCAAGCCUACAAACUUCCCCUAAUCAUACUGUCGAGAAAAGCUUAAAGGUAUACUAAGAUGUCCGUACCGCAAACCGACACAGGUAGAUGAGGAGAGUAUCCUAAGGUGCUCGAGUGAGCCGUGGUCAAGGAACUCGGCAAAUUAACCCCGUAACUUCGGGAUAAGGGGUGCUCCGAUUAAUCGGAGCCGCAGAGAAAUGGGCCAAGCGACUGUUUAACAAAAACACAUGUCUAUGCUAAGCCUUUAAGGCGAUGUAUAUGGACUGACACCUGCCCGGUGCUGGAAGGUUAAAAGGAGAGGUUAGCAGCAAUGCGAAGCUUUGAAUUGAAGCCCCAGUAAACGGCGGCCGUAACUAUAACGGUCCUAAGGUAGCGAAAUUCCUUGUCGGGUAAGUUCCGACCUGCACGAAUGGUGUAACGAUUUGG